CACACACACACACACACACACACACACACACACACACACACACACACACACACACACACACACACACACACACACAGAGGGAAACACUGAUUGAAUGUUAAAGUCUAAGCUUUGCUUUCUGGCAGUAUUUGAUAGCUUUAGGGCUCUAAGCAAGUUUGAUUUUUAGAAAUAUAAAAGAUGCACAUUCUGUUGUUAUCCUGUUGUUGACUGUUAGACUAGGUUAAAGAAAAUAUCCACUCAGCCCUAGGGCUGUCAAGGUCAUUGCUCAUUCAUCAGGGUGCCAUUGUUGACUCUCUCAUUUCACCAUGUACCUCCCCCAUCUUGCCCGAAAAAGAAACCAAAAAAAAAAAAAAAAAAGGGGGGGGGGAGAGAUUUUUAAAAUACUUUAGGGUCAUAAAUUAAGAUGCUGUAAUGACUGUGGGUUUUCAGUUACUGAUUUAACAAAUGCAUAUUCUAGCAUUCCUGUUUAUCCUGACUCACAGUUCAAGGUUGCUUUCACUAUCAAUGGUAAACUUUGUUCAUGGAUUUGGAUGCCAUAGUUUUCUUCUCCAGUCCAACUUUGUUCCAAAACCGCAAAUGAAAACAAAUGAUUGCCUUAUUGGAUUUAGCAGGCUAUUGUUGUCCAUAGAUUGAGCUUUUUCUCAUUCAUUUUUUUUUUAUUCUUUUAGGCCUCCCAGACCAUAGACGUCCCUUAAAGAAAAAAAAUCAUGAAAAUAAGACAUUUCUGAAAUGAGGUGUUUAUUUAAAAAAAAAAAAAAAAAAGAGUAGUCCCACGGUGACGAAAAGUGAUUAAUAGAUCAUUAUUUUUAACUUUACGUAACUUUAACGUUAUGACCAUAUCUGAUAUAAUUAUGUGUCCUCUAACUGUUUGUGUUCUGCAUGCUGUUUCAUUUAACCUCAGAAAACCAAAAAGAACAGAUAAUUAAAUAUGUUGCAGAUAGGGCGCAGUUUGCCUGUCGAAUUUUGAUGCAAGACGCUCCAACUGGUAAGCAACCUUUAGCAUACUAUAGCACCAAGUUAGAUAACUCUGAGGCUGGUCUGCAUCCCAGUUGUCAGGGACUUGCAGCAGCAGCUUUUGCUUUGAGAGAGCCUCAACAGGAACCAUAGGACACCCAACAAUACUGUAUACAUCUCACCAGAUACAUGCCCACCUCACCAGUCCAAGGUUUGUGCUUACACAAGCUAGGUUAUGAAGUUGUGCUCUCAGCAACAACUGAACAUCCAACGCUGCAAUACAGUUAAUCCUGCAACAUGGAUGAUGAUACCCAUAGAUAGAAUGCAACAUGACUGCCUUCAAGCCACAAAUGUGUUUCUGAGACCACGUGAAGAUAUGCAUAAUCAGCCAAUAACAACAUAUCUCUCUCUCUUUGUAGAUGGAUCCUGCUUCAGAGACGUGACAAGCAACAACACAGGUUAAGAAAUUGUACAGUUGCUGCCAGAUGAUAUAUUUACCACAGUCCAAACAAUCUAUCUUGCCCAACCAUGCUCAGCACAGCUUGCAGAAAUUAAAGCUUUUAACUGCCGCAAAGCAAAUUAUCAGAAGGCAAGCGGUUAAAUGUAUACUCACAGUGGGCUAUGCAUACGCAGUGUGUCAUAUAUAUGGAAAUAUCUGGAAACAGAGAGGUUUUCUCAGAGCGGAAUGGCACACCAGUAAUGCAUGGAGCAGCCAUCUUAACACUAAUUCAAGCAUUCAUCUAUCAAGUGUAUCAGCUAUUAUCAAGUGUGCUGCUCACCAAAAAAGCAGUUCCCUAAUAGCCAAACGCAAUAGCCUGGCUGACGAGGCCACUAAACAAGCUGAAACCGGUACAUGUGUUGGACGGUUGAAGGCAGCCGAAAACUGUGAACCACUCACCACUUUACCAUCCUUAAUAGCAGCCCAGAAGGAGGCUGACAUACGUACAGUUAGUGUGGUUAAAACGUGGUGAUAUUAAAACCACUCAAGAAGACCACCAGAAAGGUUUAUGGUGUAAGCACAGUAGAUAAAACUUUAGCAGAAUGUUUGUGCAAACAAUACUCUGAGGAAAGCCUUUCCUGCUGCAAAAUUAUACAAAUUAUACAAAUGUGUUUGCCAGAGUGCAUGAAUUCUGAUAACGAGUCAUCUUUUGAUAGAGAUAAAGAUUAAACUAGGAGUUUGAGACCAUGGACUUCUGAAAAUAAAGACAGUUCAGGCUAAAAAGGGCAGAGACUAUCCAGGGUGGAAAAAAAAAAAAAAGAGCACUCUUCAAUUUGGGCUAAGAGAAAAGAAAAGGGUAUUUGUAGGACAGAGAAAUGCAGGUUAAAAUACAGCCUUAAGUCCAUGGACGGCAAACAUCGGAUAAAUAAUCAAAAAGCAAGGUAAAUUAAAGUCUAAAUUAAAGGAAAUGUGAGAAUAAUGCAUGCGAGAACCAAAACUGAAAAAAACACACACAAAAAAAAAAACAAUCUGAACUGAAAAUAAACAACGAUAAUAGUUGUUAACAAAAAUCGAAGACCAACAAAAAAGUUUCAGUUAAACCAACAAUAAAUGUUCGAACAUUCUUAUGGGGGUUUAAUAAAGUAAAAAAGUAGUGUAUGAGGUUGUUGACUGUGUGUUGUCAACUACCUGUGUCUUGAGUGUGUGUUGAAGAAUCUACUGGAAAAAUUAGUGUUUCCUAAAAUAAAUUGUGCUAUUUUGCAGUGUUGUGUGAUUUGGUGCUGAUGUAACUGUCAGACAUUGGAGACAUUUUUGCUGUUCUAAAGAGCUUUGUAUUACUGUUAAUAAGUGGUUAAGUGUGUUGCAGUACUCAAACGAUGUGAAGGUUAUUAGACAAACUUGAUAGUUCUGGUCUAAAAUGUGUGUGCUAAUAGAUAUAUUAGUAUUGAAUGUGAUUUAUGAGAUGGUUGUUCUUGUGUGUUGUUUUUGACUUAUGAAUACUAUUCGUGCAGGCUAAGAGUUUAUAAAUGCAUGUGUAAAGUGUCGUUGAGAUAAGGAAUCCAAGUGACGGUCGGUUGAGGUUACAGCCGAGGAGACACAUCCCCGGGCAGGUUUUAUAUUGUUUUAAGAGCGGGUUCCUAUCUCGCUGAUGGCUGAGGGAGUUGUGUGCUGAAAAGUUGUGUUUCAAACUGCAGCUCCAUUGCUCCUCCCCUGGUGUGUGUGAGAGGGGGGAUGCUAGCGCCCCCCGCUCUACUGCACGUCCGGUGUGACGUAAUCACCCUCCCUUUCUCUCCUCGCUGUCGACUGGGUCCAAGCUCAGUGAACUUUUCCUUUUUUAGUACAUCAAGGUUUUGUUGUGUAUUUUUUUGUUGUUGUUGUUUUUCAAGCUCCUUUCAGCAUGCUGUCUCAUUAGUGGUUGUUGUCUGAAGUGAAUACCUAUAUGCAAGUGAUAUAUACAAUUUACGACGAUUACAUAUAAGCUGCUAUUUCAAAUAUUAUAACCAAUUGUGUUGCAAAUACAGUUUAAGCCAGUUUAUAUUCAAGUAAACGCUAUGAUCUGUUCUUUGGAGUUACAGGGUGUGAGCUGAAGAAGGCUGUUGUUAAUCAAGUAGCAUUUGACCAACCUACUCUAUUGCCCAAAUGGUGUGUUCAUAACAAAGAAAUUCAAAGCUAAUAUUAGAACUGAAAUAUUAGAAAUGAUAUAUAAUGAUGUUGAAAAUACUGAGAUCCUUUACAAAAAAGCAUAUAUAUAAAGUGUCUGUGUUGAUUGCAUCAUGAUUUUCACAUCAAAGUUCACAUACCUGUUACAGAAGAAGUAAAAUCAUCAUUUUAACUACAGAAACAUCAAGCAUCUAAUAAAAACAUACAUAUAACAUGUCCACAGUCACAAGGUUCAGUAGAACAUGCCAGUGGUAUAUCAAAAACUAAAAUAGCCAAAAUCAUGGCUGAUGGUAAUGGUAAACUCACCUGAGAAGAUGCUUUGCCAUUAGCACUAAUGUCUAUGCACUCACAAACUAACAGACUAACCCAUCUAACCCUGCAUGAAAUGCUCACUGGAUGCCCAAUGCCACUGCCACAGUGCAGGGGCCCUAUAGAGGGACCGCUUCAGCAGCACUAUUUAUGGGGUUUAACUCAAAUCUACAGAUGUGUCCUCCAACAGGUGAAAGACUGAUAGUAGUGUCGGAGAGGCUGCCGAGGAUGAUGCCACCAGCACAACCACGGGCAGUGACACCCUGGAAAGCGCACGUGCAGGACCGUCCGGCCUGCAAGAUAUACACCACCCGUCCACGCCUGAAUUCUGGCCAGAGUCAGAGCGUUCUCUGACUCAGAUUAAUUUGUUUGUUUUCUUUCUUUUUGUGCUAACCCUUUCAGGUUUCGCAAGGGGGGAGGUAGAAAGAGAAGUCCUAAUGACAUGUGCCACUAUUAACACACCACAUGUUAACUGUGCACUUACCAUGGUCACCUUAGCCACAAUUACAAGGGCAUAGUGAAAAUGGGAGAACUACUACAUCUUCUGUAUGUAAAAGCUGACACAUAUGGUUGUUCACUAACCACCGAUGGCACAAUAGCUAACGCUCCAGGUUAACAUUGGGUGGGACUACCCCGCACCACUGACUGUCAAGAGAAUGGAUGGUGACAUUACAGCACGAGGACGAGUUGGUGUAUGUAACCUGGAGAAACACAACCAACCUGACGUGGUGAGACUAAUGAAGUGCAGCAAUGAGACCUGGUAUCCGGCCACCAAUGGGGGCAAUGCUACCACCAUAAAAAUGUGUGAAUCCAGCCCUUCAACAAUUAGCCCAACCACAACUACAGGAUGAGCUCUCCGUGGAUAAUCAGCUAGGAAGACAACAUCAUGGAUAGAGGUCAAAAUGUAAUUUAGAUAAAUGUGCCAGCAAGGCUGUGAGCCUGGCUAAGGUUGCUGUCCACUCCUGCAGAGGAACAAUCCAAAUGGAUACAACAGAGCAGAGGUAUCUGUCAGUGCCUGCACCCUCCAGGAAGAAGGGUGAGCUAUCAACACAGAGACUACUGUACAAGGAGAGAGACAGGCUGACAGGUUUAUAAAUUAUGUUCCGACAAUUGUACGACGAUCCCUUGUAUUCAACAUAGUUAUGUAGAGUCAAAUGUUGUAAAUGUGUUGAUGAAGAAAAGCGGGCACUCAUUUGUGAAGGUCACGUCAGAAAGCUGAGUGCCAUAAAAAGCACAAGAAAUGUAUUAAACCAGUGUGGUUUACAGGAAACCAGUAAGUUCAUAGGGACUCUGGUGUAAUGUUGGCCUUAGGGCCGCCACACUAACCAAGGCAACACCACGGGUAAUAUGUCACCAAGGCUAACAAAUAACCCAAGCGUGUCAUUUAAGUCCAGGUGCUAAGAUUGGAUAGAGCUCUUACCUGUCUUUAUGUAAUUGGAUCAUUGGAAAAAUACCAGAAGAAAUUUUUUUU